rnacentral:rRNA from 1 species
GACGAACGCUGGCGGCGUGCUUAACACAUGCAAUUCGAACGGAAAGGCCCUGCUUUUGUGGGGUGCUCGAGUGGCGAACGGGUGAGUAACACGUGAGUAACCUGCCCUUGACUUUGGGAUAACUUCAGGAAACUGGGGCUAAUACCGGAUAGGAGCUCCUGCUGCAUGGUGGGGGUUGGAAAGUUUCGGCGGUUGGGGAUGGACUCGCGGCUUAUCAGCUUGCUGGUGGGGUAGUGGCUUACCAAGGCUUUGACGGGUAGCCGGCCUGAGAGGGUGACCGGCCACAUUGGGACUGAGAUACGGCCCAGACUCCUACGGGAGGCAGCAGUGGGGAAUAUUGCACAAUGGGCGGAAGCCUGAUGCAGCAACGCCGCGUGCGGGAUGACGGCCUUCGGGUUGUAAACCGCUUUCGCCUGUGACGAAGCGUGAGUGACGGUAAUGGGUAAAGAAGCACCGGCUAACUACGUGCCAGCAGCCGCGGUGAUACGUAGGGUGCGAGCGUUGUCCGGAUUUAUUGGGCGUAAAGGGCUCGUAGGUGGUUGAUCGCGUCGGAAGUGUAAUCUUGGGGCUUAACCCUGAGCGUGCUUUCGAUACGGGUUGACUUGAGGAAGGUAGGGGAGAAUGGAAUUCCUGGUGGAGCGGUGGAAUGCGCAGAUAUCAGGAGGAACACCAGUGGCGAAGGCGGUUCUCUGGGCCUUUCCUGACGCUGAGGAGCGAAAGCGUGGGGAGCGAACAGGCUUAGAUACCCUGGUAGUCCACGCUGUAAACGGUGGGUACUAGGUGUGGGGUCCAUUCCACGGGUUCCGUGCCGUAGCUAACGCUUUAAGUACCCCGCCUGGGGAGUACGGCCGCAAGGCUAAAACUCAAAGGAAUUGACGGGGCCCCGCACAAGCGGCGGAGCAUGCGGAUUAAUUCGAUGCAACGCGUAGAACCUUACCUGGGUUUGACAUGGAUCGGGAGUGCUCAGAGAUGGGUGUGCCUCUUUUGGGGUCGGUUCACAGGUGGUGCAUGGCUGUCGUCAGCUCGUGUCGUGAGAUGUUGGGUUAAGUCCCGCAACGAGCGCAACCCUUGUUCACUGUUGCCAGCACGUUAUGGUGGGGACUCAGUGGAGACCGCCGGGGUCAACUCGGAGGAAGGUGGGGAUGACGUCAAGUCAUCAUGCCCCUUAUGUCCAGGGCUUCACGCAUGCUACAAUGGCUGGUACAGAGAGUGGCGAGCCUGUGAGGGUGAGCGAAUCUCGGAAAGUCGGUCUCAGUUCGGAUUGGGGUCUGCAACUCGACCUCAUGAAGUCGGAGUCGCUAGUAAUCGCAGAUCAGCAACGCUGCGGUGAAUACGUUCCCGGGGCU